rnacentral:rRNA from 1 species
UACGUAGGGUGCGAGCGUUGUCCGGAAUUACUGGGCGUAAAGAGCUCGUAGGUGGUUUGUCGCGUUGUUCGUGAAAACUCACAGCUUAACUGUGGGCGUGCGGGCGAUACGGGCAGACUGGAGUACUGCAGGGGAGACUGGAAUUCCUGGUGUAGCGGUGAAAUGCGCAGAUAUCAGGAGGAACACCGGUGGCGAAGGCGGGUCUCUGGGCCGAAACUGACGCUGAGGAGCGAAAGCGUGGGGAGCGAACCGG